CCUACGGGGGGCAGCAGUGAGGAAUAUUGGUCAAUGGACGAGAGUCUGAACCAGUCAAGUAGCGUGAAGGAUGACUGCCCUAUGGGUUGUAAACUUCUUUUAUAAAGGAAUAAAACGAGGCACGUGUGCCUUUUUGCAUGUACUUUAUGAAUAAGGAUCGGCUAACUCCGUGCCAGCAGCCGCGGUAAUACGGCGGAUCCGAGCGUUAUCCGGAUUUAUUGGGUUUAAAGGGAGCGUAGAUGGGUUGUUAAGUCAGUUGUGAAAGUUUGCGGCUCAACCGUAAAAUUGCAAUUGAUACUGGCAGUCUUGAGUACAGUUGAGGUAGGCAGAAUUCGUGGUGUAGCGGUGAAAUGCUUAGAUAUCACGAAGAACCCCGAUUGCGAAGGCAGCUUACUAAACUGUGACUGACAUUGAUGCUCGAAAGUGUGGGGAUCAAACAGGAUUAGAUACCCCUGUAGUC
rnacentral:rRNA from 1 species